AGUAAAUAGAUACCCAGGUAGUCCACGCCGUAAACGAUGUCGACUUGGAGGUUGUGCCCUUGAGGCGUGGCUUCCGGAGCUAAACGCGUUGAGUCGACCGCCUGGGGAGUACGGCCGCAAGGUUAAAACUCAAAUGAAUUGACGGGGGCCCGCACAAGCGGUGGAGCAUGUGGUUUAAUUCGAUGCAACGCGAAGAACCUUACCUACUCUUGACAUCCAGAGAACUUAGCAGAGAUGCUUUGGUGCCUUCGGGAACUCUGAGACAGGUGCUGCAUGGCUGUCGUCAGCUCGUGUUGUGAAAUGUUGGGUUAAGUCCCGCAACGAGCGCAACCCUUAUCCUUUGUUGCCAGCGGUUAGGCCGGGAACUCAAAGGAGACUGCCAGUGAUAAACUGGAGGAAGGUGGGGAUGACGUCAAGUCAUCAUGGCCCUUACGAGUAGGGCUACACACGUGCUACAAUGGCGCAUACAAAGAGAAGCGACCUCGCGAGAGCAAGCGGACCUCAUAAAGUGCGUCGUAGUCCGGAUUGGA
rnacentral:rRNA from 1 species